AACCUCCGCAAUGUGAGAAAUCGCGACGGGGGGAUCCCAAGUGCCAUUCUUAACGGGAUGGCUUUUCAUUAGUGUAAAGAGCUUUUGGAAUAAGAGCUGGGCAAGACCGGUGCCAGCCGCCGCGGUAACACCGGCAGCUCUAGUGGUAACAAUUUUUAUUGGGCCUAAAGCGUCCGUAGCCGGUUUAAUAAGUCUCUGGUGAAAUCCUGUAGCUUAACUGUGGGAAUUGCUGGAGAUACUAUUAGACUUGAGACCGGGAGAGGUUAGAGGUACUCCCAGGGUAGAGGUGAAAUUCUGUAAUCCUGGGAGGACCGCCUGUUGCGAAGGCGUCUAACUGGAACGGUUCUGACGGUGAGGGACGAAAGUUAGGGGCGCGAACCGGAUUAGAUACCCGGGUAGUCCUAACUGUAAACGAUGCGGACUUGGUGUUGGGGUGGCUUUGAGCUGCUCCAGUGCCGAAGGGAAGCUGUUAAGUCCGCCGCCUGGGAAGUACGGUCGCAAGACUGAAACUUAAGAAGUA
rnacentral:rRNA from 1 species